CGAUUCAAAUGAAGUUUUCGGACGGAUUUUGAAUUGACUUAGCGGCGGACGGGUGAGUAACGCGUGGGUAACCUGCCUCAUACAGGGGGAUAACAGUUGGAAACGACUGCUAAUACCGCAUAAGCACACAGUGCCGCAUGGUACGGUGUGAAAAACUCCGGUGGUAUGAGAUGGACCCGCGUCUGAUUAGGUAGUUGGUGAGGUAACGGCCCACCAAGCCGACGAUCAGUAGCCGACCUGAGAGGGUGACCGGCCACAUUGGGACUGAGACACGGCCCAAACUCCUACGGGAGGCAGCAGUGGGGAAUAUUGGACAAUGGGGGAAACCCUGAUCCAGCGACGCCGCGUGAGUGAAGAAGUAUUUCGGUAUGUAAAGCUCUAUCAGCAGGGAAGAAAAUGACGGUACCUGACUAAGAAGCCCCGGCUAACUACGUGCCAGCAGCCGCGGUAAUACGUAGGGGGCAAGCGUUAUCCGGAUUUACUGGGUGUAAAGGGAGCGUAGACGGCACUGCAAGUCUGGAGUGAAAGCCCGGGGCUCAACCCCGGGACUGCUUUGGAAACUGUGGUGCUAGAGUGCAGGAGAGGUAAGUGGAAUUCCUAGUGUAGCGGUGAGAUGCGUAGAUAUUAGGAGGAACACCAGUGGCGAAGGCGGCUUACUGGACUGUAACUGACGUUGAGGCUCGAAAGCGUGGGGAGCAAACAGGAUUAGAUACCCUGGUAGUCCACGCCGUAACGAUGAAUACUAGGUGUUGGGGAGCAAAGCUCUUCGGUGCCGCCGCUAACG
rnacentral:rRNA from 1 species